GGUUAAUUUGAAAAUUAAUUAAUAAAGUUAGUAUUAAAAUAAUUUUUAAUUAAAUUUGGGUGUUUUAGUAUAUUUUAUAGAAAAAAUUUAAAAUUUUAUAGGGGAUAAGUAUUGUAAAUGAAUUUUGAAAUAAUUGAAAAUUAAUUUUUUAUAAAGUAGAUUUAAUUUAUUGUAUCUUGUGUAUCAGAGUUUAUUAAUAAAAAUUUUUAUUAAAAAAUUUCUCGAAUUAAAAAGAGUUAUUAAAUUAUGAAAUUUAUUGUCUCAUAAAUAUUUUUAAUAAUUUGAUAGAAAUGAAAUGUUAAUCGUUUUUUAAGAUAUCUAGUUUUUUUAGAAAAAAAUUUAAUUUUGAAUUUUAAAAAUUAUAUAGUUUUUUAUUUAAUUAUUUAAUUUAAAUUUUUAAUAUUUUAGGGGAUAAGCUUUAAAGUAAAUUUUUAUAAGAAAUUUAAAAAUUUUUAAAAAUUUUAUAUUUUAUAUUGUUAAAUAAAUUUUAGUUUAUUAUAAAUAAUUUUGUAAAAAGAAAAAUUUAAUGUAUUUCUUUAAUUUUUUAUAAAAAAAAAAUAAUUAAUAUUAUAUUAUUAGUUAUAAUGAUAAAAUUAGUAUAUAUUGUUAGUUAUUUUGAAUUAUAUUAUAACUUAUAUUUAAGUUAAUUAAAAAGAAUUCGGCAAAUUUAUAUAAUUUAUAUCCACCUGUUUAUCAAAAACAUGUCUUUUUGUUAAUAAUUUAAAGUCUAAUCUGCCCACUGAUAUUAUAUUAAAGGGCUGCAGUAUUUUGACUGUACAAAGGUAGCAUAAUCAUUAGUCUUUUAAUUGGUGACUUGUAUGAAUGAUUGGAUGAGAUAUAAACUGUUUCUUAAUUAUUUAUAAAAUUUAAUUUUUUUAUUAAAAAGUAAAAAUAAAUUUAAAAGACGAGAAGACCCCAUAGAGUUUUAUAUAAUAAUUAGUUUAUAAAUUGUAUUUUAGAAUUUAAUUAAAAUUAUUUUUUAUAUUUUAUUGGGGUGAUAAGAAAAUUUAAAAAACUUUUUUAUAUUAUACCAUAGAUAAGUGAUUUUAUGAUCCAUUAUUAUUGAUUAAAAGAAAAAAUUACCUUGGGGAUAACAGCGUAAUUUUUUUUUUUAGUUCAAAUAGGAAAAAGAGUUUGCGACCUCGAUGUUGGAUUAAGAUAAAAUUUAAAUGCAAAAGUUUAAAAUUUUGAUCUGUUCGAUCAUUAAAAUCUUACAUGAUCUGAGUUCAAACCGGUGUAAGCCAGGUUGGUUUCUAUCUUUAAAUCAAUAAAAUAUUUUAGUACGAAAGGAUUGAAUAUUUAAAAUAAUUUUUAUUUUUUGAAUUUUAUUAAUUUAAUUUAUAAAAUAAAUAUUGGUUUAUUAUUAAUA
rnacentral:rRNA from 1 species